CCAGAGAACUUAGCAGAGAUGCUUUGGUGCCUUCGGGAACUCUGAGACAGGUGCUGCAUGGCUGUCGUCAGCUCGUGUUGUGACAUGUUGGGUUAAGUCCCGCAACGAGCGCAACCCUUAUCCUUUGUUGCCAGCGGCUCGGCCGGGAACUCAAAGGAGACUGCCGGUGAUAAACCGGAGGAAGGUGGGGAUGACGUCAAGUCAUCAUGGCCCUUACGGCCAGGGCUACACACGUGCUACAAUGGCGCAUACAAAGAGAAGCGACCUCGCGAGAGCAAGCGGACCUCAUAAAGUGCGUCGUAGUCCGGAUUGGAGUCUGCAACUCGACUCCAUGAAGUCGGAAUCGCUAGUAAUCGUAGAUCAGAAUGCUACGGUGAAUACGUUCCCGGGCCUUGUACACACCGCCCGUCACACCAUGGGAGUGGGUUGCAAAAGAAGUAGGUAGCUUAACCUUCGGGAGGGCGCUUACCACUUUGUGAUUCAUGACUGGGGUGAAGUCGUAACAAGGUAAGCGUACUACA
rnacentral:rRNA from 1 species